rnacentral:rRNA from 1 species
UACGAAGGGGGCGAGCGUUGUUCGGAAUUACUGGGCGUAAAGGGCGCGUAGGCGGCCGAUCAAGUUAGAUGUGAAAGUCCUGGGCUUAACCUGGGGACUGCAUUUGAUACUGAUUGGCUUGAAUUCGGGAGAGGAUAGCGGAAUUCCCAGUGUAGAGGUGAAAUUCGUAGAUAUUGGGAAGAACACCGGUGGCGAAGGCGGCUAUCUGGACCGACAUUGACGCGUGAGGAGGCGAAAGCUAGGGGAGCAAACGGG